UACAGGGGGCGCGAGCGUUGCUCGGAAUCACUGGGCGUAAAGCGAACGCAGGCGGACUGUUAAGUCGGGUGUGAAAGCCCGGGGCUCAACCCCGGAAUUGCAUUCGAAACUGGCAGUCUUGAGUACGGGAGAGGGGAGUGGAAUUCCUGGUGUAGAGGUGAAAUUCGUAGAUAUCAGGAGGAACACCGGUGGCGAAAGCGGCUCCCUGGCCCGAUACUGACGCUCAUGUUCGAAGGCGUGGGGAGCAAACAGG
rnacentral:rRNA from 1 species